rnacentral:other from 1 species
AUAAACCUGCCGUGUUUGUUAGCUUUUUUAAUGUUUUGAACCUUGUAUAUAAAAAGGGAGUCUUACAUGAUUGACAGGACAGCCUGCCUUGUUUUAGGCGACGCUGGAAUGGCAUUUGCGGACACCCACCUACUCAGAGUAGGUUCAUGAAACAUGGGGAGCAACGGCAUCUGCGGGUUUUUU